AUGGUACAGAUGAAGUUCAUUUGUAGUCGUGUUAAUUGCUCCUCAAACGUCCACGUGGAAACCAUUGCACCAUCCUUUGCUGAUAUUUACCAAACCAAUUCAGCCAAGCUGACGUGCAAAAUCUCCAACAUUCCCUUUGAGUUCAAUAUUAGCAUGCUAACUGUCACCUGGACACAGGGAUCUGAGAAAAAAACACUGGACACUGAAGUGGGAAAGCCCAUACAUCAGGAAAACAAGCGGAAAUAUAUUGAGGCUACAGCCAUGGUACCUCCAACCGAAUGGAACAGUGGGGAAACUUUUAAUUGCAAAGUUGUUUUUCCAGACUUACUUCUUGAACCUCUGGAAAAACCUCUGAAAAAGCUUACUGGUAAGUCCAGCUUCCCACCAUCUGUCUACAUCCUUCCACCUUCCGAACUAACUUUGAAGGAAAUUGGCACCCUCACUUGCUUGGUGAAAGGGUUCUACCCUGGCGACAUCUUUGUACAAUGGCUCCACAAUGAUCAGCCAGUGAGUGAUGAGGACUACUUUACCAGCAAGCCGACAAUGGAGUCCAAAACACCCGAGCGGUUCUUUGCCUACAGUAUGUUGAACAUCAAUCCACAGAACUGGAGGUCUGGUGACAUGUACAGUUGCCUGGUGGCACAUGAGGCAUUGCCCAUCAACACAACUCAGAAGGCUGUAGGCAAGAACACAGAAGCAGCUGACAUCCAUAUAUUCUCCGAAGCUUAUCUAGAUAGGACUAUGGAUAUUGAUGAAGAUGAAGAGCUCCAGAAAAUCUUAUCAGUUCUUUCCACUUUCAUUGUCCUCUUCCUUGUAAGCCUUUGCUACAGUGUCACUGUGACAGUCAUCAAGUGCUCAGGAACAAGCCCCACUGGACUCAACAGGACUGAAACAUAGAAGCAUAGAAACAGAGCGAGUCAGAAGGGGU